UAGUGAGAAAUCCGUAAGGAUGGUAGCACAGGUACUGCAUGGCUGUCGUCAGCUCGUUCCGUGAGGAGUGCCCUUAAGUGGGACAACGAGCGCAACCCCUGCUCCGUGUUAGAAAUGUCACGGGGGACGGACCCAGCUUAGCUGGGAAGGAAGGAGGGGCAGAUGUCAAGUCAGCAUGGUCCUUAUACCUUGGGCUACACACAUGUUACAAUGAGUAAAAACAAUGGGCUUUGCCAGAUCGUAAGAUUGAGCGAAUCCCUGAAAUCUACUCUCAGUGGGGAUUGAGGUCUGCAACCCGACCUCAUGAACGCGGAAUUGGUAGUAAUCGCGGAUCAGCUACGCCGCGGUGAAUACGUUCUUGCCUCUUGCACACACCGCCCGUCAAGCCAACAAAGUCGGAAAAAUUUGAAUCCCGAGUUAAUCGGGAGAGGAUUCUUUCGGCGAUGGGGGUUAAGUCGUAACAAGGUAACAGUUUUGGAAGAAGCUGUUGGAUCACCUCCUUU
rnacentral:ncRNA from 1 species